rnacentral:rRNA from 1 species
ACUCCUACGGGAGGCAGCAGUGGGGAAUUUUGGACAAUGGGGGCAACCCUGAUCCAGCGACGCCGCGUGGAGGACGAAGGUCUUCGGAUUGUAAACUCCUUUUGGAGGGGAUGAAUGGCCUGGUGAAUAGCCAGGAGUGACAGUACUCUCUGAAUAAGCCACGGCUAACUACGUGCCAGCAGCCGCGGUAAUACGUAGGUGGCAAGCGUUACUCGGAAUCACUAGGCGUAAAGCGCAGGUAGGCGGUUCGGUAAGUCUCUUGUGAAAGCUCCCGGCUCAACUGGGAGAGGUCAAGGGAAACUGCCGGGCUAGAGUGUGGCAGAGGAAGCUGGAAUUCCCGGUGUAGCGGUGAAAUGCGUAGAGAUCGGGAGGAAUACCUAUGGCGAAAGCAGGCUUCUGGGCCAUCACUGACACUGAUCUGCGAAAGCUAGGGGAGCAAACAGGAUUAGAUACCCUGGUAGUCCUAGCCCUAAACGAUGCUCAUUAGGUGUGGAAGGUAUCGACCCCUCCCGCGCCGUAGCUAACGCAUUAAAUGAGCCGCCUGGGGAGUACGGCCGCAAGGUUGAAACUUAAAGGAAUUGACG